GGGACAGGAAAGGACUGGAAGAGGGGGCGGGUCUGGGCAGGGGCGUCGGGGUCGCUAGUUCCCUGGGGUCCUGCCCCCCAGAGUCCCGGGUGGUCCCCUCGCCUCUCCCCGCAGAGGUCGUUCCCUCCCGACCCCACACUCACCAGCCCGGGU